GCCAUUCUGAUGGCCUCUCCUCGGGAUUGCCGCCUUGGUUCGCCAAAACCCUAACAAAAUCCUCUCCGUCUUCUUCUCUCCUUCCUUAGCAACCCACGAUUCUGUAGGUCGGGAAAGAUUUCAGGAAAGAGGUCAUACGGAGAGCAUCUCUUAGGGGUUUUCCGUUAGCUCCGUUUCUCAUGGCCCAAUUCAACUCGUGCUUUGAGGAAGUAUGCUGGCAAAUAACUUUACAUCUUGUUUGAUUGGAAUUGGUGAUAUGGGGCAUAUGGUAUUCACACAACACACCAUGGGCGAUGUUCAUUGCUUUCGUGGAUUAUUCGCAUACUAUUCAAACCAUUGUUACAGUUCCAAAUCAUGCCCAUGGAUGAGAGCAUCCGCGGUUCACCUAGAUCAUGUGAACAAGCUCGAGCAUAAGCGUGACCCUUGUUUGCAUCAUGACAGUGUCAAUUCUUCCCAGGCUGCUCAUUAUAGGUCAGAGCAGAGAGGUAGUUCUUUAGAUGUGGUUAAUGGAAGUAGCAAGGUCAUUUAUAAUGCUGAAAAGGCGAUGAUAUCCACACACGCUAGACCUGUGCAGCUAUCGAAUUCUAAUGCAAAUGCCCUAACUCUUGAUGGGUACUAUGUGGAACAUGAUGAGGUGUCCAACAAUGAUGUUCUUCGUAAUUUCUGUGCAAAUGGGAAGCUCGUUGAAUCCUGCAACCUGAUUAAUGUCAUGGCACGAUUGGGUCAGGUCCCUGACUUCCCUUGUUGCAUUAACAUUAUCCGGGGAUUAGUCAAUGCUGAUAAAAUGGAAAAGGCCACUCGCGUUCUUGAGGUGAUGGUUAUGUCUGGGGGGGUCCCGGAUGUCAUCACCUACAAUAAAUUGGUUGGAGGUCUCUGUAAAAGAGGACAACUAAAUUCUGCAAUUAGAAUUGUACAAGAUAUGAGUUUCAGUGGUUGCCCUCCUGAUGUGAUCACAUUUAACACUUUAUUCCGGUCCAUGUUUGACCAGUGUAAGUAUGAUGAGGCAGUUUGGUUUUGGAAAGAUCAGUUAAAUAAAGGCUGCCCUCCUUAUCUAAUCUCUUACACGGUACUUCUUGAACUCAUAUGCAAGCACUGUGGUAUUCGACGGGCUAUGGAGGUUCUGGAUGAUUUAGCUUUUGAGGGAUGUCAUCCUGAUCUUGUGACUUAUAACUCUCUCAUCAAUUUGAUAUGUAAGGGAGGGAAGUGUGAGGAUGCAGCAACAGUUUUUGUUGAUCUUCUGGCACAUGGCUUGGAACCAAAUGCGGUCACAUAUAAUACCUUACUUCACUGUCUCUGCAGCAAGGGAAAGUGGGCUGAGGCUGAUGAUGUACUUGCAAUCAUGAACCAGGCUUCUUAUCCUCCUACUGUAGUUACCUACAAUAUCUUGAUCAACAGUUUGUGUAAAUACCAGCUUUUGGAUCGGGCAAUUGAUGUCUUACAUAGAAUGGUAAGUGAAGAAUGUUCUCCGGAUAUAGUCACUUACAACACUCUCCUGGCAGCUAUGUGUAAGAAGGACAUGACAAAGGAGGCUGUGGAUAUACUUCACUAUAUGAGGGACAGUGGAUUCUCUUUGGUUGUCAUAACAUAUAAUACUGUAAUAGAUAGAUUAGCAAAGAUGGGUGAUAUUAAGAAGGCAAUGAUUCUGUUUGAUGAGAUGGUCAAUGAUGGCAUUACUCCUGACGACAUCACUUAUGGUUCAUUGGUCAUGGGUUUUUGCAAGGAAGAUAUGGUGGAGCAGGCACUUGAGAUGUUGCAGGAGAUGAUUAAUAUCAACUGGAGAAUAAGAGGCAGUACGUUUACCCUUGUGAUACAGACAUUAUGUAGAAAUGGCAAGGUGGAUGCUGCUAUUGAAGUUUUAGAUAUGAUGAUAUCAAGAUGUAGCAAGCCCAACAAAGCAAUCUAUGCAUCGCUGGUAAAAGGAGUGGCUGCCUCUGGCAUGACAGAAGAGGCUACCAAACUGCGUAAGAAGUUGAUCGAGUACAAGAUCCUUAAGGAAGACUCUUGAGUUGGUAGAAUUGGGACUGUGGAGAUGCAAAUCUCCACUGAUUUGAGCUGCUGCUGCUCUGGGUCUCCUGCACUUUUGAUUCUGAAUGCUGCAACGGGUUGCUAUGUAUCUUCUGUUUCAAGAGGUAGUAAGCACGAUUCUCAAAAUUGGUUCUCUUUUGAGAAGCUAAAGCUGAUUCAUGACUCAUGAGUGCAUAGGAGUAUUUAGAAUUGCAAUCGGCCUUAACCCUUUUUCUGUGAGACUUUCUGAUGCCAAGAAGUAGCUCAGGUAACGAGAACUUCUGGCUUAUCAAUCCUUUGAGAAAAAUUCCUCUAUCGAGCUUAUCUGGACGCUCUUCGCCUGCAAUAAAUGGCUCCAUUCUAUUUUGCUUGCCUGAAAAUGGAUUUCGAUUCACAUACAUUUGAUUGCGGUACACCAGUCUCUUUGGUAUCCCUGUGUUUUCUAACUAUGUUUAAGGCCUACGUACUGCUCACUCCAAGCUGCAAUAGUGCAUCCAAACAGCUGAAAUUUGUGAGAGUGCACCUUAGGGGAUGCAUCAUCAUAUAAGCAACUGCGAGCAGGGUUCAGAAACGUUUUGAGACCUGAACUUGUGAAUAUAUCAUCCAUCUAUGAAGAUUGAAGAAUAUAUAUAUUUCUUGAAUGCAGAUAUUAGAUGAACUUUGUAGGCAAAAGGGUUUCAUCAACUUGUUGAGAUUUGGUUCUGCUUCCUUUUCAAUUUUAAGAAACGAAACAUGGGAAUCAAUUUUCUAUAGCUGCUUCCUGUUAAUGAAGCUUGACCAUUGUUUUGAGGCUCUUAGACGGUACGUUGUUAUAAAUAAUAGUUUAUUCUUAUCGCUGUCUGGUUGAGAAUCUAGACCUCAUUGUUUAUUCUUUGCGGUAAAUCAUGUAUCUGAGUGUUUUAUGAAAAAUUGGAGGGUUACCAAAAAAAAAUGGUGGAUUCUCAUUUUUCUCUAGUUCUCUUCUCCAGUCCCUUUUCUUCCAAUGCCCCCGUCUACCAGCAAGAUCUUCCAACUUUGUAAACAGG